UACGUAGGGGGCGAGCGUUGUCCGGAAUUACUGGGCGUAAAGCGCGUGUAGGCGGAUAUUUAAGUCAGAUGUGAAAUCCCGGGGCCUAACUUCGGGGCUGCAUCUGAAACUGGGUAUCUUGAGGGCAGGAGAGGAAAGUGGAAUUCCUGGUGUAGCGGUGAAAUGCGUAGAUAUCAGGAGGAACACCAGUGGCGAAGGCGACUUUCUGGACUGACCCUGACGCUGAGACGCGAAAGCGUGGGGAGCAAACAGG
rnacentral:rRNA from 1 species